ensembl:lncRNA
GUUCAAAGACAUGCUGUUCGGGUUCAGCCGUAGUGUGUGAGUUUUACUGAUGUCUGUUUUUACCUGUUUCUGUCUUGCAAUAAGUUCCAACAGACCAACGCACCCUGUGGCUGGUAAGCGUACCACGGUUUACCCCUUGGCCUUGCUCUCUCCCGAGCUGCCUACGGGUCCGGGGUUGGGGGAGCAGCCACUUUCACUGGGGCGGGAGGCCGGUGCUGUUCCCUCAGUCUGUUGACUGCAGCCAGAACUGUUGUCAACUCACUGAAGUACAGCCACCUGGGCAUCAUAUGCCAGCUUUAUAAAUGAGGGUAUCAGCUCGGAAAAGGUUAAUGAGGGUCAGGGUGAGGCAAAAAGAAAAAAAAGCAGGAGGAGUAGUAGCACGAAUAAGCACCAACCACAAAAGUGGGUGAUAAAUCACAAAAUGUGCUCCAGAGGAAAUGCUUUUGUGGAACAGCGCUUUCAGCUGCACAAAUAAUCAUACAUGUUCACUGUUAUCACCUAGCGACGCUUCUCAGAAUUUAUAAUUGUAGGUCUCCGUCCGACUUCUCCUCCUGCUCCCUGUGGGUGGAGGAAGGACGCGGCGCUAAAUACAGCCCUUCGGACCCUGUGCCAUCGAGAAGGUUCUCGAUCCCCCCUCGCGCACAACUGGGACGGAGCUCGUGGGCACCUGGCGCUGCGCUCAUCAUGGGCAGGAGAAAGUCCGGCAAACGGCCCUUUUUUAGAAAGAGAAAGGCGGUGUUGAAGACAACCGAUGGGAAAGUCGCUUCUAUGAGACGUAGGAGGUGCAUUGAAGUGCAGGAAGUCCAGGAGGCGAAUGAAAGGGCAAAAUCCGUCACUGUGUUUUUGCGCACAGGGGAGGGGAAGUCGGUCCACAUGGCGUUCUGUUUCCAGCGGAAAAAAAAAAAACAAUUUUCUUGUUUUUAAAAAUAAUAAGCUCCAGGUAAUAAUGAUUUUUCUUGUUGCCUUUAAUGGUUCAGGGAAGCAUGCUUUCAAACAGUGUUUACUCUUUCGUCAUUGCUCAUUAAACAUCCACAACAUUUUACGAGAACUGUAUUUUAUCUUCCAGAUUUCUGAAACUCAAAUACGCUGCAGUUCAAACUGCAGCGACGCUGUAAUAAAUCAGCCUCUGGAAUUUCCUCAGAGUUUUUUCUUUUCAAUUGUGCAUUCAAGGAUGUCUGUAAACUUGCCAGAUUCCUCCCAGGGUCAUAUGAUUUCUGUUUACUGGUGAAUUUGAGGUGGUCUCCACUUCCAUGAAUUCUCUCGUGAACAGAGGGUCACUUACAUGAGUUGGCCCACAGGAACUUCUCUUUGCACCCAGCUCUUCCAGUCAUAACCAUCUCCAGGGCCGCUUUUAUGAUGUGAACAAGUGUCAAACUUCAGUGUUGAAAAGAAGUCUAGCAGUCAGCCUGUUGUCAACGUAUAAAUUUGUGUUCUGUACAUAUACAUUGCUGUGAAGAAGUAAGUACACCCCACCCAAAAAAACAGUGUGUUUAACAAUCUUGUAUGUAUGGACAUUUUAUUUUUCAUUUGAACAAUACUAAUAGAUAAAGGUGAUGCGUAGAUUAGAUUAAUCCUCUUCGCUCCAGAUGGAGCAAAAGGUGCGAACAAAUGUCCACCAGCCAUUCGCGAUCCUAAACUAACAAGCUGAUUUCGUUCCAGUCUUGCCCAUCUUCUUUAACUCUCUUCUUUGACUGUCCUUCUCCAGGUGCCCAGGGUUCUACCUUACUGUCGCUUGCUAGGUGGUGCCCAUCUGAGUGCUACGUAGGGGUGUCUGGUCACAUUCUCGUGCAGUACGUGGCCCAGCCAUCUCCAACGCACGUCUCUGUUUCCUUUUGUGUGUAAUGAUGUUAACGCUCCUCCGUUCACUUAUUUCUCUGUUACUUGCAUGUCGUUACCAGCGGACUCUGAGGAUUCCUUGGCGGCAUCGACCUUCAGAACCUCUGAGCCGGCUGUCAACCUUCUUGUUUCUCCUCCGAGUCUCCGCAGCAUGCAGCACAACCGAUUGCACGUUCAAUCUGUAGAUCUCAAACUUGGUCCUGUCAUGCAACACAGAUGAUUUCCAGAUGUUAAGUCUGCUGAAAGCUUGCGCUGCCAGCGCAACCUGCGUAGAAAUUUCUCUCUCAAUAUUGCAAUCAGUUGAGAUGUAGCUGCCAAGAUACUUGAAGUCCUUUACUGCAUCCAGUUCUAUCCCUUUGAUAAUCGCUUUAUUUCUAGUGGUGGUCUUCACU